CGGGCUGUAGCUCAGUAGGCUAGAGCGCUACGUUCGGGACGUAGAGGUCGCUGGUUCAAGUCCAGUCAGCCCGACCA
rnacentral:tRNA from 1 species